CCCCGCCCGCCGCCGAGCCUCCUCCGCGGGGGGCUCCGGGGGGCUGCGGGGGGCUGCGGGGACUUCCUUUCCCUCCCCACCUGACAAAUUUUGCAAAAGCAAAACAACAACAAAAAGGGAAGGCGUUCUUGGUCCUUGCACUGGGUUCAACUCCCGCCCCCACCCCAAGUCGUCCUCUCACCGUCCCCGAAGCGCGGGCCGCUUCCUGCUGCGUCCCCCGGGUCUAGCCCCCGAGGCCGCUGCUGUCCCUCUGCUACGGACGCAAGGAAGCCCCGCGGGAGCGGGGGCAGCUCGCCUGGGGUCUUGACUACUGACUAGCAAGAAGAAGGGUAAUAGCUGAUGCUUGCUGGGCAACUGGCACUGCGCGAAGCGCUUCUCCCAACGACUCUGAGAGGCAGGCAGGCCAGUCACCACGUCCUGGGUCCUGGGCGGACUUCUGACCUCUUGGACUCCACUCCCUGUCUGCAAGUCGAGGCUGAAAACAAGGCUGUUGUGAAGAGUGACCGAGAUACUACUGGGAGGGAACCCAGGCUUGGCGGGAUGAAGCGACGACCUGGUCCAGCCCGCCCGGCGCACACUCGGCCUCCGCGACCGCCCGCAGGUGUGUGGCACCUGCCCGCCCGCGCUCGCGCCUCCCCGCGGGGGCCGCGCCACGCGCUGCGGCCGAGGCCUGCG